rnacentral:lncRNA from 1 species
UAAUUAUGAUAAUUAGACAUAAGCAUUUCAUUUAAACAGAGAAGAAACUGAUAGACUGACAGGGCGCACAUGUUUUUUAAAGGAAUAGGACAUAUACAGUGCAAUACGUUUAUAGCGAAACGAUUAAGACCGGAAAAUUUUGAACAACCUAUGCUUAAAAUAUAUGUUAUAUGUAUGGUUUUUGAGAUCUUACAGAGGAGAAAAAAUGUAUAUUUAUAUAUAGGGGCCCCAAAGCCUAGUUCAUACCGGGGGCCGGGAUUUCUCUCGGCGUCACUGCAUCUGGGCUAACUCAAUUUCAAUACUUAGCUGUUCAAUUGCAUUAGGGAGACCUAUAUAUAUUUAUACAGAUAUGAGACUCUCAUCCGGCAAUUUUAGAAAUGAAACACGUAAUCCCAUAGAAUUGUCGGAUAACUUUUUAGGAGGAUAUUUACAAUUAGCCCAUGAUACAUUUACAAACAAUACACCAGUCAGAGUCUGUUACAUAACAAUCACUAUAGUGCAGUUUUAUCAAACAUAUUAUACCCUCCUUCAUUUAAACCUACAAAUAGGUCUUUUGCCUCGUUACAUUUAGAUUACA